AGCUAUAUCUAUUGAGCGUGCCGAGCGCUAAAACCGAAGAAGAAACAAAAAAUUGAAUUGCAUUGCAUUGCUUUUGCUGCGUUGAAAAUCCGAAGAAAUCGAAUUGCAUUGCUCCGUGAAAAAAAUGGAAAGCGAGAAAGCGUUUGAGUUUCUCGGAUGCGUUCCUCUCCUGCAGAGGCUUCCGAGCUCGUCUCUGAGGAAGAUAGCUCAACUUGUGGAUGUCAAACAUUGUGAGCCCGGAGAGUAUGUUGUUCGCGAGGGUGAACCCGGAGAUGGUGUGUACUUCAUAUUGGAUGGAGAGGCUGAGGUUCUUGGAUCUGUUAGUGCCAAUGAUGAAAAUCGACCAGAGUUCCAAUUGAAACAAUAUGACUACUUUGGUUAUGGUUUGUCAAACACAGUUCACCAGGCAGAUGUUGUUGCUUUGUCUAAGCUGACAUGCUUAGUGCUUCCUCAUGAGCACUCAACACUGCUGCAGCCAAAGUCUAUCUGGAGAGCAGAAAAUUCUCUCGAGACAUGCUCACCUGUGGAGAAUAUAUUGCAUUUGGAGCCGCUCGAGGUAGAUAUCUUCCAAGGAAUUACCCUUCCAGAUGCUCCAAGAUUUGGAAAGGUGUUUGGGGGGCAGAUGAUUGGACAGGCUCUGGCUGCAGCUUCAAAAUCUGUUGGCUCUCUUAAGGUUGUUCAUAGUUUGCAUGCCUAUUUUAUUCUUGCAGGGGAUUUAAACAUGCCAAUUACAUACCAAGUUCACCGUCUCCGAGAUGGAAAGAGCUUUGCUUCAAGGAAAGUGGAUGGAAUUCAAAAGGGAAAUGUCAUAUUCACUCUGAUGGCUUCAUUUCAAAAAGAAGAAUCAGGGAUGGUCCACCAAGAAGUAGCUAUACCAUCUGUCCCUGCUCCAGAUAAGCUUCUGCCAAUGGAAGAGCUACGGGAGAGACGUCUUACUGACCCUCGUUUACCAAUAACCUAUCGGAACAAAGUAGCUACAUCUCAAUUCAUCCCAUGGCCCAUAGAGAUACGGUUAUGUGAAUAUGAAACUGCAACAAAUAUGACAAAAUCUCCUCCCAGUUUGAGAUACUGGUUUAGAGCAAAGGGAAAACUUUCAGAUGAUGAAGCCUUGCAUAGGAAAGGGGAAGAAGGAUGGUUCGGGAAAAGGAGCAUCGGGUUUAGAUUAAGGCACUGCUGCAACAAGAGCCAAAUCUCAUUGAGCAGUUCGGCGCCGUCAAUAUUGAAGGUAGAGAGGAAGGUGGGGGUCAACAACGAUGAUGUUGUUCUGCUCAACGUCGGAAAUGUCAGUGGCUUUUUCGAAUGAGGGAGGGGCGAAGCAUUCACGAAUGAGGGGAGCUAUUACAAUAGUUAUAAAAAACUUACAACUUUGGAUAGGAAACCCCUUUUUUUGGUUUUCAAAAUUAGCCUAUUUAAGUGUUUUAAAAUUUGGUUAAAAACCAUUUUAACACCAAUUUUGCCAAACAACUUUUAUUUCCAAAAUUUCAUUUCAAAACUAAAAACUACAAACUGACAAUACAAAAUUAAAUGUUUUUAUUUUGAAGAAUAGAGGAACUAAAAUUCCAUUUAAACCUUACUUACAACUUUAACUGAUGUGCGAAACCAAUGCUUGCAUCCAUUAGAGCCCUGUGACUGUGAGACUGCCUGAAUCUGGUGCGUGGUGGCAUACGCUUCCGAUCUAAUAUUUCUUCAAGUAAGUUUGAAUCCCCACCGUGAGAAGGGUUUCAGGACACGUUCUGUUAGUCUGGAUCACUC